rnacentral:lncRNA from 1 species
UUAAGUGACUUUUCACUGAGUUAAAACAUUAUACCUACAAAUUUCACUUUAUACAUGUUGUCAAUAUUUUUUUAAAAGGACAGAAGGAAGUAUGUGCCUCAUGGUAUUUUGCUAGCUUCUUAAACUUUGCUGCUCACAUUGCCAACCUAAGUGUAUCCUACCCUUGGUUCCUUCUCCACGUACAAACUUAGAACCCCAAAGCCUGCUUUGCACACUCUCCAGUGAUGAUUGAGGGCCGCUUCAGGUGAUGCAUGUCACCUUCCUGCAAGGCAACCAGUUUGCAGAUCUGGCCAGAGGGAAAAUUACUGGACAACAAAAUGAAAAGGAGGCGUAAGUCAGCCCAGAUCUCUGAACCCUAGGAAAGGCAACUUCCCUCCCGCUCAUGAAAGAGGACGAUUGUGCUCAGUACCACUUAUCUGGUGCCAACAAUCUGGUUUUCCAGUUCCCUCCUCCUUUCCCUUAUUUCCACCACCACCUGCAACUUCAAAACUAAAGAUCAGACACCAUCAUCCUGUUGUUUGAAACUUUCUCUGAAAGCUGGUCCUUUCCCUUCCCCAGCCUCUUCCUGGUGCCUCCCUGCAAAGGCAGAAUGUUAAUACACAGAUUUGUACGUGACAAUGUUAGGUGGUCCUAGUAUGCCAUGACUGUCCAUUUUGAAUAAGCCUUUUAAAGUUAAAGGAACCUUAGUGCUUGGAAUAUUUGUUUGCCCUUUCAU